rnacentral:rRNA from 1 species
UACGGAGGGUGCGAGCGUUGUCCGGAAUCAUUGGGCGUAAAGCGCGUGUAGGCGGCCCGGUAAGUCCGCUGUGAAAGUCGGGGGCUCAACCCUCGGAUGCCGGUGGAUACUGUCGGGCUAGAGUGCGGGAGAGGCGAGUGGAAUUCCUGGUGUAGCGGUGAGAUGCGCAGAUAUCAGGAGGAACACCAAUUGCGAAGGCAGCUCGCUGGAACGUUACUGACGCUGAGACGCGAAAGCGUGGGGAGCAAACAGG